UACGGGGGGGGCAAGCGUUGUUCGGAAUUACUGGGCGUAAAGGGCUCGUAGGCGGCCAACUAAGUCAUACGUGAAAUCCCUCGGCUUAACCGGGGAACUGCGUCUGAUACUGGAUGGCUUGAGUUUGGGAGAGGGAUGCGGAAUUCCAGGUGUAGCGGUGAAAUGCGUAGAUAUCUGGAGGAACACCGGUGGCGAAGGCGGCAUCCUGGACCAACACUGACACUGAGGAGCGAAAGCCAGGGGAGCAAACGGG
rnacentral:rRNA from 1 species